GGCAAAAUGAGAGUCCGACUGUCUCUUAUAACAAAUCAAUUAAACUGAUCUCCCAGUACAAAAGCUGGAAUAAUCACAUAAGACCAGAAGACCCUGUGAAGCUUUAACUAAACUAUUAAACCUAAUAAUAACUAUGUUUCGGUUGGGGCGACCUUGGAAUAAAAAAGAACUUCCAAAUACAUGACUUCCUCAUACAAAAGGCAAACAAGCCGCACUAGACCCAGUAUAUCUGAUAAAUGAACUAAGUUACUCCAGGGAUAACAGCGCUAUCUUCUUCAAGAGCCCAUAUCAAAAAGAAGGUUUACGACCUCGAUGUUGGAUCAGGACAUCCUAGUAAUGCAACCGUUACUAAGGGUUCGUUUGUUCAACGAUUAACAGUCCUACGUGA
rnacentral:rRNA from 1 species